rnacentral:rRNA from 1 species
CCUACGGGAUCUGCAGUGGGGAAUAUUGGACAAUGGGCGAAAGCCUGAUCCAGCCAUGCCGCGUGUGUGAAGAAGGCCUUCGGGUUGUAAAGCACUUUCAGUGGGGAAGAAAGCCUUGGGGCUAAUACCCUCGAGGAAGGACAUCACCCACAGAAGAAGCACCGGCUAACUCCGUGCCAGCAGCCGCGGUAAUACGGAGGGUGCGAGCGUUAAUCGGAAUUACUGGGCGUAAAGCGCGCGUAGGCGGUCUGAUAAGCCGGUUGUGAAAGCCCCGGGCUCAACCUGGGAACGGCAUCCGGAACUGUCAGGCUAGAGUGCAGGAGAGGAAGGUAGAAUUCCCGGUGUAGCGGUGAAAUGCGUAGAGAUCGGGAGGAAUACCAGUGGCGAAGGCGGCCUUCUGGACUGACACUGACGCUGAGGUGCGAAAGCGUGGGUAGCAAACAGGAUUAGAUACCCUUGUAGUC